AGCAACAAUAACGACAAAAAGUUCAACGGCAUUUCUACAAUUUCAUGAUCACAGCUUCCAUCUUUAAAGGACUGGAAGUGGAAGAGGUUUACAAUGUUUAUGAGGAAUCUGUUCAAUCAUUCUGAAUUAUUUUAUACAACAUUAAUUCAUUAGUUCAUAACAAUAACCUGAAAUAUUUCUGUAAGUGUGAUCCUGUACAGACUCAACUGAUCAGCAGUGACAAACAGGAGGAGACUCUCUGUCCUACACAGAACACAGAGACGUUGAGGAGCCAAAAUUGCAGAACCUGAACCCAGGAUAAAGAGGCUGAGUGAAUGUGGUGUUGAAGGUGUAGAGGUGGAUCAGUGAGUCAGAGGAGACUGAGUAGAAGGACAGAGAGCCAGCAGGACAGUCCACAUACACUGCUACUCUACCAGAGGCAGAGGAGGAGGAGAUGGAUGUUUCUCUGUUAUUGUGACGGACAUAGUAACCACCAUCAGAGCAGAACAGAAUCCAGGACUGAUCAUUACGUCCAAACACACAGUCAUCACUGUUUCCUCUCCUGCUGAUUCCUCUGUAA